GAUGAAGAACGCAGCGAAAUGCGAUAAGUAAUGUGAAUUGCAGAAUUCAGUGAAUCAUCGAAUCUUUGAACGCACAUUGCGCCCGCCAGUAUUCUGGCGGGCAUGCCUGUUCGAGCGUCAUUACAACCCUCAGGCCCCCGGGCCUGGCGUUGGGGAUCGGCGGAGCCCCCCGUGGGCACACGCCGUCCCCCAAAUACAGUGGCGGUCCCGCCGCAGCUUCCAUCGCGUAGUAGCUAACACCUCGCGACUGGAGAGCGGCGCGGCCACGCCGUAAAACACCCAACUCUUCUGAAGUUGACCUCGGAUCAGGUAGGAAUACCCGCUGAACUUAAGCAUAUCAAUAAGCGGAGGA
rnacentral:misc_RNA from 1 species